CCUACGGGGGGCUGCAAUUAGGAAUCUUGCGCAAUGGGGGCAACCCUGACGCAGCGACACAGUGUGGAGGAGGAAGGUCUUCGGAUUGUAAACUCCUUUUAUGAGGGAAGAAUAGAUGACGGUACCUCAUGAAUAAGCACCUGCUAACUACGUGCCAGAAGCAUCGGUGAUGCGUAGGGUGCGAACGUUCUCCGGAUUUAUUGGGCGUAUAGAGAAGCGUAGGUGUUUUUGUAAGUCUUUAGUUAAAUACCACGGCUCAACCGUGGAGAAGCUUUGGAAACUACAGAAAUUGAGACAGGAAUGGGCGAAGGGAAUUCCCAGUGGAGCGGUGAAAUGCGUGGAUAUUGGGAGGAACAUCAGUGGCGAAGGCGAUUCGCUGGUCCUUGUCUGACACUAAGGCUCGAAAGCGUGGGGAGCGAAAC
rnacentral:rRNA from 1 species